UACGUAGGGUGCGAGCGUUAAUCGGAAUUACUGGGCGUAAAGCGUGCGCAGGCGGUUUUGUAAGCCAGAUGUGAAAUCCCCGGGCUUAACCUGGGAAUGGCAUUUGGGACUGCAAGGCUUGAGUGCGGCAGAGGAGACUGGAAUUCCUGGUGUAGCAGUGAAAUGCGUAGAGUAUCAGGAGGAAUACCGAUGGCGAAGGCAGGUCUCUGGGCUGACACUGACGCUCAUGCACGAAAGCGUGGGGAGCAAACAGGG
rnacentral:rRNA from 1 species